AUCAAAACACUAAUCUCCCCGGAUCUAAGUUUAGAGAGAGAGAACCCAACCUAGAGAUAAACUAGAGAGAGAAGGAAAUAUAAUAAGAGAAAAGGAAUGGGAAGCCCCUUUCUCUUUCUCUCUUCUUCCUUCUUCCCGACGAAAAGGGGAGAAGAGGGUUCGGCAGCAGGUGGCCCGCGGCCGGCGACGCCCCACGGUCGUCGGCCUGUGGCGGUGCCGGCGGUGCCACGCCCGGCGACGGCCGGUCGGAACGAGAGAGAGAAGAAGGCCGAACAGGGCUCGGCUUCUCCUUCAAUCCGGCGACUUCCUGGCUACAUUCCCAAAAAGGUAAUGGCCAAAAAUGAUGGAGGAGGAGGAGAAGGUGCUCACCUUGCCCCCGGCGAGGUUCUCCCGACCGGAUCGACGGCGAACGGUCCGAUCCCUCCCGCGGCAAGGUAGAACUCCAAUCUCCCUUCUCUUUUUUUUUUUUUGUAUGUGGAAGGGCCCUCGGUUGAUGCCCUAGGGAAAGAAAGGGAGGAAAUCUCCCUGAUUUGGUAGGGUUUUAUCACCCUAUAACCUCCCCUCCGAUGGAUUCGGAAGGAGGGG
rnacentral:lncRNA from 1 species